UCUUACCAGGUUGCUCAUUGACCGAUGGCUCCUCAGACUGGCCAGGUGCGGUGGAAGUAGAUGCCACAUUCUUCUCGCCCCUCUUUGGGUUAUCUGGGCCCAACCGACUGUACCUUGAGUAUGGGGCCACCAGAGGUACCUUGACAUCAUAUUUCAUUUUCUUUACUUUCAAGUCUCUGAAGUACAAAGAGAGUGUGUCUGGGAAGGGGUAAUUUGUUUAGGUCUCCUGACCAACUAUAGAAAUC
rnacentral:lncRNA from 1 species